GGUGAACGCUGGCGGCGUGCCUAAUACAUGCAAGUCGAGCGAACAGAUGAGGAGCUUGCUCCUCUGACGUUAGCGGCGGACGGGUGAGUAACACGUGGAUAACCUACCUAUAAGACUGGGAUAACUUCGUGAAACCGGAGCUAAUACCGGAUAAUAUAUUGAACCGCAUGGUUCAAUAGUGAAAGACGGUUUUGCUGUCACUUAUAGAUGGAUCCGCGCCGCAUUAGCUAGUUGGUAAGGUAACGGCUUACCAAGGCAACGAUGCGUAGCCGACCUGAGAGGGUGAUCGGCCACACUGGAACUGAGACACGGUCCAGACUCCUACGGGAGGCAGCAGUAGGGAAUCUUCCGCAAUGGGCGAAAGCCUGACGGAGCAACGCCGCGUGAGUGAUGAAGGUCUUCGGAUCGUAAAACUCUGUUAUUAGGGAAGAACAAAUGUGUAAGUAACUAUGCACGUCUUGACGGUACCUAAUCAGAAAGCCACGGCUAACUACGUG
rnacentral:rRNA from 1 species